rnacentral:rRNA from 1 species
UACGUAGGGACCGAGCGUUGUCCGGAAUCAUUGGGCGUAAAGAGCGUGUAGGCGGCCACCUAAGUCCUGCGUGAAAUCUUGCGGCUCAACCGCAAGCGGUCGUGGGAAACUGGGUGGCUAGAGUGCGGGAGAGGAGAGUGGAAUUCCUGGUGUAGCGGUGGAAUGCGCAGAUAUCAGGAAGAACACCCGUGGCGAAGGCGGCUCUCUGGAACGCAACUGACGCUGAGACGCGAAAGCGUGGGGAGCAAACAGG